UCGGCAGCUCCAGGCUAUUCCGAGGAACAGUCUUCAGAGAGCCUGGGGUGCUGAUGGGGAAAAGCUGUUGCUGAGAUUUGACAAGUUUGGUCCUGAGAUGUCAGAAAGGAUUUCAGCUCUUCUGCCACCCCAAGGACGGUGGCGCGUAAAUCACAGUGAGCUGGCUUAUGUCAGAGGACAAUGAAUCCAGGCAGUGAUCCACCAAUGAUAACUAACAUCAUAAAAAGAUACAUGGCCGGAUAUGAUGUUCCUUCUGACGGAAGACCACAACACCUGCUGAAAAAUCAAAUCUGAAUCGGAUCAAGCCUCUAGAGGAGGCAGCACCCAGGGUCAUUCCUGGAGCAUAAACGAUCCCUGCAGAACAUGGGCUAGAAGACCCCACAGUGGGGCAGAGGCAGGUCCUGGACUGGGAUCCCAGCAGUGAGAAGACCUGGACAUCAACCCUAUUUCAUUGUGCCUCUGCAAAUCUCCCAACUUUUGGAGCUGUAGCUGCAAGCUCAGACUUGUGGUUUCCUGUACCUGGAGGAGGCCCAGGUCAUUCUGUUAAGUCCCUUGUCUAUUUCCUGCUUUUAUCUGGAUGCUGAGUUAAUUAUUUGAUCCAACAAUAAAACUAACAAGGUUUUAUUUGUUUUUAAUGUCUUCUCUUUGCUGAACGCUGUGCUGGGUGCUGUAGCUGACAUGGUUUUUGUCUUAACAGCUCAUGAAUCAAAUCCCAGCUCCACCUUUUAUAGCUUUAGACAAGCAUUUAACCACCACUUGGGCCUGUUUCCUUACCUGCAAAGUGGGGAUAAUGACAGUUAAUAGCUACUUCAUUGUGACUUUGUGAGGAUUAAAUAAGAUACGGCAGAUAAACUACUUAAUAGGGUCUGGCACAUUGUAAGCCUCAAUAAAU
rnacentral:lncRNA from 10 species